UACGAGGGGGGCAAGCGUUGUUCGGAAUUAUUGGGCGUAAAGGGCGCGUAGGCGGUUUGACAAGUCUGAUGUGAAAUCUAUGGGCUCAACCCAUAGCCUGCAUUAGAAACUGUCGGGCUUGAGGACUGGAGAGGAGACUGGAAUUCACGGUGUAGCAGUGAAAUGCGUAGAUAUCGUGAGGAAGACCAGUGGCGAAGGCGGGUCUCUGGACAGUUCCUGACGCUGAGGCGCGAAAGCCAGGGGAGCAAACGGG
rnacentral:rRNA from 1 species